rnacentral:rRNA from 1 species
GAGUUUGAUCCUGGCUCAGGAUGAACGCUGGCGGCGUGCUUAACACAUGCAAGUCGAACGAAACACCUUAUUUGAUUUUCUUCGGAACUGAAGAUUUGGUGAUUGAGUGGCGGACGGGUGAGUAACGCGUGGGUAACCUGCCCUGUACAGGGGGAUAACAGUCAGAAAUGACUGCUAAUACCGCAUAAGACCACAGCACCGCAUGGUGCAGGGGUAAAAACUCCGGUGGUAUAAGAUGGACCCGCGUUGGAUUAGCUGGUUGGUGGGGUAACGGCCCACCAAGGCGACGAUCCAUAGCCGGCCUGAGAGGGUGAACGGCCACAUUGGGACUGAGACACGGCCCAGACUCCUACGGGAGGCAGCAGUGGGGAAUAUUGCACAAUGGGGGAAACCCUGAUGCAGCGACGCCGCGUGGAGGAAGAAGGUCUUCGGAUUGUAAACUCCUGUUGUUGAGGAAGAUAAUGACGGUACUCAACAAGGAAGUGACGGCUAACUACGUGCCAGCAGCCGCGGUAAUUC